CUCAUCAUUUGUGCCAGUGGCCCCGCAUUAUUUCUUGAUGAAGUGUGCAAACUGGGAAGCUGAUAGCUCUGGAAAUGAGAAAGCAGAAAUUUCCAAGGAAACUAUAUUUCAUACAUUGAUGGAAAUGUAUGGAAAGCAUACAGUUGGACCGAGAAACUAAUUCUCAGUGAAAAUUAUUUGACUGAAUUACAUAAGGAUUCAUUUGAAGGCCUGCUAUCCCUCCAGUAUUUAGAUUUAUCCUGCAAUAAAAUACGAUAUAUUGAAAGACAUACAUUUGAAUCACUACCAUUUUUGCAGUAUAUAAAUCUGGGCUGCAAUUUAAUUACAGAACUGAGCCUUGGAACAUUUCAGGCCUGGCACGGAAUGCAGUUUUUACACAACUUGAGGCAUGAGGAGGUGAGAGAUGGAAAGAAUGCUGUCUGUCAUUUGGAGUCAGAAGGAAAAGAAGGUUGAGGGUCUGCCAGCUCUGCUCUAGUGGUUUUUUCCUGUUUCACCUUUUACAAAAUCGAGAUAAUCGUUUCUACUUGGUAGCGAUAUUGUGAGGUGUAAAAUGGAUUAAUACAUGCAAAAUGCUUAAAGCAACUUCUGGCAUACGGUGAUCUCUCAACCAAUCCAUUGUUAU
rnacentral:lncRNA from 1 species